AACGUAGGUACCGAGCGUUAUCCGGAUUCACUGGGCGUAAAGCGCGUGCAGGUGGUUUGGUAAGUCGGGCAUGAAAACUCUUGGCUCAACUGAGAGAAGCUGUUCGAUACUGCCAGACUCGAGGGUGUGAGAGGGAGGUGGAAUUCCGCGUGUAGUGGUGAAAUGCGUAGAUAUGCGGAGGAACACCAGUGGCGAAAGCGGCCUCCUGGCACACUCCUGACACUCAGACGCGAAAGCUAGGGGAGCGAACGGG
rnacentral:rRNA from 1 species